CCUACGGGUGGCAGCAGUCGAGAAUCAUUCACAAUGGGGGAAACCCUGAUGGUGCGACGCCGCGUGGGGGAAUGAAGGUCUUCGGAGUGUAGACCCCUGUCAUGUGGGAGCAAAUUAAAAAGAUAGUACCACAAGAGGAAGAGACGGCUAACUCUGUGCCAGCAGCCGCGGUAAUACAGAGGUCUCAAGCGUUGUUCGGAAUCACUGGGCGUAAAGAGUGCGUAGGCUGUUUGGUAAGUCUGGUGUGAAAGGCGCGGGCUCAACCCGCGGAAGGCACAUGAUACUGCGAGACUAGAGUGAUGGAGGGGGAAACGGAAUUCGCGGUGUAGCAGUGAAAUGCGUAGAUAUCGAGAGGAACACUCGUGGCGAAGGCGGGUUCCUGGACAUUAACUGACGCUGAGGAACGAAGGCCAGGGGAGCGAAAGGGAUUAGAUACCCCGGUAGUC
rnacentral:rRNA from 1 species